GCUCAACCGAAGAAGUGCAUAGGAAACUGGGAAACUUGAGUGCAGAAGAGGACAGUGGAACUCCAUGUGUAGCGGUGAAAUGCGUAGAUAUAUGGAAGAACACCAGUGGCGAAGGCGGCUGUCUGGUCUGUAACUGACGCUGAGGCUCGAAAGUAUGGGUAGCAAACAGGAUUAGAUACCCUGGUAGUCCAUACCGUAAACGAUGAAUGCUAAGUGUUGGAGGGUUUCCGCCCUUCAGUGCUGCAGCUAACGCAUUAAGCAUUCCGCCUGGGGAGUACGGCCGCAAGGCUGAAACUCAAAGGAAUUGACGGGGGCCCGCACAAGCGGUGGAGCAUGUGGUUUAAUUCGAAGCUACGCGAAGAACCUUACCAGGUCUUGACAUACUAUGCAGAUCUAAGAGAUUAGACGUUCCCUUCGGGGACAUGGAUACAGGUGGUGCAUGGUUGUCGUCAGCUCGUGUCGUGAGAUGUUGGGUUAAGUCCCGCAACGAGCGCAACCCUUAUUAUCAGUUGCCAGCAUUAAGUUGGGCACUCUGGUGAGACUGCCGGUGACAAACCGGAGGAAGGUGGGGAUGACGUCAAAUCAUCAUGCCCCUUAUGACCUGGGCUACACACGUGCUACAAUGGAUGGUACAACG
rnacentral:rRNA from 1 species